GUCCCACCCGCUAUGCUCGGUACGAGCGGUCGAAGUGGGAGGAAGUCGGUGUGAGUCCGGCGCGGUCCCGCCACUGUGAACCGGCACAUUGUCGAUCUGCCCCGUAGAUCGACACACUGAACGGUGCAGCCAGAUACUCCGUCGAUCGCAGCGCACAUCA
rnacentral:ncRNA from 2 species